GGUGGAUUUGGACUGCCGCCUUUGGUUGGGCUGCUUUUCUGGGUCCAAAGGAGUCCAGUUAGAUGGGGGACACUGGGUGCCAGUUGGGGAGGAGUUAGCCAGGCUAUCGUUGUUUACUAUAGACCACCAGAAAGAGUGCUGCUGAGUUUUUCCGGGUCACUCUCAGAAAGGUCACUGGGUGCGUGUGGCCCAUGCUGGGCGUCUUGUUUUGCCUUCAGUAGAUAAGCGGCGAGCCCCAGCUCCUGCUCCAGAGAGGUGCGCUGAAGAGACCAGCAGCUGAUCACACGCAAGUCACAGUAUUUCAGAGAUCUAAGGAGACAGGUGAGGGGAAACAUAAACUUACAGUGAUUAUACUUUAAUUAUGCAUUUAUUAUAUGACAAGACGUGCUUGUUUUACCUGGGUAGAGAUUCUCCAAGUGGAUCCAUUCCCGUUAAAAUAAGUAUACAGGGUAAGGCUUCAAGCUCUAGGUAUGUGUGAGGAGCCCAGUCUGGAUCCACGAUCUUCAGCCAGACCUGCAGACAUAUAAUAAUGAUAUACCAUUAUUAAGGGAUAUCAAUUUAUAAUUAAAUGAACUAAUAACUGAAAAGUGCACAUACCUUCAGCUGGUCCAGGAAGUGUUUUCCCACAUUGAGAGAAGAGCACGGAUCUCCCAGGAUGAUCUCGAACUGCUUGUGGAGGCCGAGCUUGUUUCGGACGUGACAGAGGCGCUGGUGUGCGAGGGCAGCGAGGGCGGGUGAGGGGAUUCUCAGGAGGAUCAUGUGCCCGUGACGGCUGGGGCAUCGCUGGGAUGUGCUGAGGAGACACUGCAUCAUCUCAAGCGUCUCCACUGAGAUGUGUUUCUGCAGAGACUGUAAGGUCUGUCCGCCCGCAGUGGCCAUCAGAGCCAGGCAGCAGCCAUGCUUUCAAAUGAGCUAUCGUAUCGAAGCAGAGGAAGGCCGCUGCCGGAGUGCGUCGUCUCCAAAAGCUCUGAUACACCGAAAUACUUUGUUUUCUCAUGAUAGAGAUCCACAUCCUAGAAGAUCACCACGUAAUUGGUCUGACUCAGUCUGCCCUCGACCAGUCUGUGAAAGGUGUCUUCUAAAGCUUCCACCAGAGAGGGCGCCGUGUCCAGGACCAGGACUGCAUCUCCACAUGAGCUGGUGGCAAGCUUGGCCAGCCAGGGGAGUUGGGAGGGAGUGAGCGGCUGAGCUAAACAGGGAAGAGGAGUCGGAAACUGUGGAUGGGUCUGCUGGUACUGCCGGAUCUCCGUCAGGUGUGACUCGCGCCAGGAGCGCGUGAAGAUCUGCUCCAGGUCUUCCAUUUGAGGGGCCUGGUCAGGAGCUGUCGUAAGACAGGUAUCAUCAUCACCCAAGUCAGUGCAUCUCUAUUGGAUAUACGUUACACUUAUGAUCUCACCAUCAGUAGUACAACAUCCUUCUGGUGGGGGCUUCAUCUGAUAUGGUAUUGGAGGGCUGUUUGAAUCAGAGCCAUCUUCUUCAUCAUCUUCCUCAUCUAAUCGACCUGUUGAGGGAAUUCAUGUUCAUGAUAAUGUACACUGGGGUAUAGCUGAGAGAAUACAGGUCUGGGCACUACUGUGUUGGAGCGCAGUGACGCCUCUAUCGAAUUAUGAAGCAUUUCCUCGAACCGAGUGCUCUGAAGGUGACCUGUGUGUGAGUUCCCCAUGAUCUUUAAUAGAAAUGGAAGAACACAUAAGGUGAAACAGCAUUCAUCAGUAAGGAGAGCCUUACUUAAGCUGAUCAGGAAUCAGUGAAUCAAUCAACCUCACAGAACAGAAAUCAUCUGCAGUGUAAAACGAAUGGUGCUGUGAUUGUAUGACAGACUCGGCAGAGUGCCAGCUUCCCCUCAGGAAGUUAAAAAACAUCAUGGAGUUUUGCAGGGUGUCCAAUUUGCAACCUCAUAAAGCUACCAUAGCCAAUGUCAGGGCAUCCUGACCCAGACUGAGAGAGUGAGUGAGUGAGCGAGCGAGCGAGCGAGAGAAUGACCUCCCUCUAGCAAUAAACAAAAAGUUGGAAACUGGGAAAGGCUGAGCUCGAACGAAAAUGAAAAGGUUAUGUAAGCUGAAUGAUGUAUUUUAAGUUUGCUCUACUUAUAAGGAUAUAAAGCUUAAUCAAAUAUGUAUUUUUAUUAAAACAUCACAGAUACUGUAGACCAAGAAGAUAGAUAGACAUACAGACAGACAGACCGACC